ensembl:snRNA U2 U2 spliceosomal RNA
AUCACUUCUCGGCCUUUUGGCUAAGAUCAAGUGUAGUAUCUGUUCUUAACAGUUUAAAAUAGUAUGUUCCAGACCCUGGCUGCUGAAAUGUAUCUCUCAAUCUCUAAAAUCCCUGUGGGUUGCUGAAUCAUAAGGGCUUGGUUCCUGUUGCAUUUUAAAUUUUGUCUUUGUUUCUGACACCGGAAGAUGACUCACUCUUU